rnacentral:tRNA from 1 species
AAGGCUUUAGCUUAAUUAAAGUUCUUGAUUUGCAUUCAAGAGAUGUGAGGUAGUGUCUUGCAGGUCUUA